GAUGAACGCUGGCGGCGUGCCUAAUACAUGCAAGUCGAGCGAACAGACGAGGAGCUUGCUCCUCUGACGUUAGCGGCGGACGGGUGAGUAACACGUGGAUAACCUACCUAUAAGACUGGGAUAACUUCGGGAAACCGGAGCUAAUACCGGAUAAUAUAUUGAACCGCAUGGUUCAAUAGUGAGAGACGGUUUUGCUGUCACUUAUAGAUGGAUCCGCGCCGCAUUAGCUAGUUGGUAAGGUAACGGCUUACCAAGGCAACGAUGCGUAGCCGACCUGAGAGGGUGAUCGGCCACACUGGAACUGAGACACGGUCCAGACUCCUACGGGAGGCAGCAGUAGGGAAUCUUCCGCAAUGGGCGAAAGCCUGACGGAGCAACGCCGCGUGAGUGAUGAAGGUCUUCGGAUCGUAAAACUCUGUUAUUAGGGAAGAACAAAUGUGUAAGUAACUAUGCACGUCUUGACGGUACCUAAUCAGAAAGCCACGGCUAACUACGU
rnacentral:rRNA from 1 species